UCCCGCGCAGAUCUCUACUCUGUAACUCUCUCAUGGUCGCCCCCUGAAGCUAAGCAAGGCUGUGCCCAGUCAGUAGCUGGAUGGGAGACCACAUGGGAAAGCUAGGUUGCUGUUGGAA
rnacentral:rRNA from 1 species